AUUGAGCAGCCUUAGACCUUCCUCCUUACGAGCAAUACAUCUAUAGUGAUUAUUUAGUAGCCACCAUAACAAUUUCCUCCACAAGGACCUUCUUUCCAUUAUUGUAGCAUUGUCCUACUUACUGUCUCAUUUAGGAUCCCUUGGUAUAUCAUUGGGUACCUAAGUUAUUCCAUUGUCAAUUUAUUCCCUCGCUGUAUUCUUUUCCCCUCUUUAUGUCUCUCCACGGCUCUUUUUCAAUGUUUAUAUAGCUGUGGAUUGCCUUUUAAC